rnacentral:snRNA from 1 species
GGAUGUGAGGGCGAUCUGGCUGCGACAUCUGUCACCCCAUUGAUCGCCUGGGUUGAUUCGGCUGAUCUGGCUGGCUAGGCGGGUGUCCCCUUCCUCCCUCACCGCUCCAUGUGCGUCCCUCCCGAAGUCCAAGAGGACGACCAUCCCCGAUAGAGGAGGACCGUUCUUCGGUCAAGGGUAUACGAGUAGCUGCGCACCCCUGCUAGAACCUCCAAACAAGCUCUCAAGAAUCAAAAUGGAGUCCUUUUUGUCUAAUUCUUUAAAAAAGGGAGUGUAAGGCCAUGACUAAGGGAUGGAGUCCUCAUGU